rnacentral:rRNA from 1 species
UGAGCAAUCUGCCCUCCUCUUUGGAAUAAGCGUUGGAAACGACGUCUAAUGCCGAAUACGACCUCCUUUCGCAUGAUCGGAGGUGGAAAGCUCCGGCGGAGAAGGAUGAGCUCGCGGCCUAUCAGCUUGUUGGUGAGGUAAUGGCUCACCAAGGCGACGACGGGUAGCCGGCCUGAGAGGGUGACCGGCCACACUGGGACUGAGACACGGCCCAGACUCCGUACGGGAGCAG